UUUGAACUUGAUGACUGGGAGCCAGAGUGUGAGGAUCCAGAGGAUGAUCCGCGCCGUCUGAAAAGACAAAAGGAAACCGUGGAAACCUAUGAGGAUGAUCUGGAACGGCUUCGUUUCUUGCCUCUCUCAGGGGAGGAUGAGGAUGGAGAACUCGAGCGAGAUCUCUUCCUUGGAGAUGAAGACCCCUUGCGAGACCUGGAGCUGGAUCUUGGGAGGUUAAGGGAAUAAAUCAGAUUUAUUCAGAUUAGUAUGAAAGAAAAUAGUUUGUUAUCUCUUUCCAGUGCUCAGUCAAAACAGCUUUACAACAACAUCAGGAAGGAAAUAAAAAAAACAGUAUUUUCUGUGCAAAAUG